CACCAGGCGCGAAAACUUUACAAUGCGGGAAACCGUGAUAAGGGAACUCCGAGUGCCCGUAAAAUCGGGCUGUCCAUCUGUUUAAAUAACAGGUGAAGAAAGGGCCGGGCAAGACCGGUGCCAGCCGCCGCGGUAAUACCGGCGGCUCGAGUGGUGGCCACUAUUACUGGGCUUAUAGCGUUCGUAGCUGGUCUGUUAAGUCUCUGGGGAAAUCUACUGGCUUAACCAAUAGGCGUUUCAGGGAUACUGGCAGACUAGGGACCGGGAGAGGUGAGGGGUACUCCAGGGGUAGGAGUGAAAUCCUGUAAUCCUUGGGGGACCACCUGUGGCGAAGGCGCCUCACCAGAACGGCUCCGACAGUGAGGGACGAAAGCUGGGGGAGCAAACCGGAUUAGAUACCCGGGUAGUCCCAGCCGUAAACGAUGCGCGUUAGGUGUAUCGGUGACCACGAGUCACCGAGGUGCCGAAGAGAAAUCGUGAAACGUGCCGCCUGGGAAGUACGGUCGCAAGGCUGAAACUUAAAGGAAUUGGCGGGGGAGCAC
rnacentral:rRNA from 1 species